rnacentral:rRNA from 1 species
GACGAACGCUGGCGGCGUGCCUAAUACAUGCAAGUAGGACGCUGAAGGAGGAGCUUGCUUCUCUGGAUGAGUUGCGAACGGGUGAGUAACGCGUAGGUAACCUGCCUGGUAGCGGGGGAUAACUAUUGGAAACGAUAGCUAAUACCGCAUAAUAGUAGAUGUUGCAUGACAUUUGCUUAAAAGGUGCAAUUGCAUCACUACCAGAUGGACCUGCGUUGUAUUAGCUAGUUGGUGGGGUAACGGCUCACCAAGGCGACGAUACAUAGCCGACCUGAGAGGGUGAUCGGCCACACUGGGACUGAGACACGGCCCAGACUCCUACGGGAGGCAGCAGUAGGGAAUCUUCGGCAAUGGACGGAAGUCUGACCGAGCAACGCCGCGUGAGGGAAGAAGGUUUUCGGAUCGUAAAGCUCUGUUGUAAGAGAAGAACGAGUGUGAGAGUGGAAAGUUCACACUGUGACGGUAUCUUACCAGAAAGGGACGGCUAACUACGUG